rnacentral:misc_RNA from 1 species
GUUCAUCUCCGGGAGAUUUUUCCCCCCGCUGCUGCCUCCCAGAUUUUUCUCCCUUGGAUUCUUAUCUGUCGCCGCCCCUUGAUUUUUCUACACGCGCCGUCAUUAUCUCCAGCUGUGGAGCUUCUUCUCCCUGGCUGCGUCUCCCUCCCUCUCCCUCGUGUCUUCUUCUCCCUGCUCGCUGGCGUUCCUCCAGCUCCCUGCUCACUCCUCUUCUUCUCCCACGCACGCACAGGCUCCUCCCUCUGCGCAUCUCCCUGCGUCCGGUCGAGUUCUCCACACCGCGCUCCACUGCUCGGCCAACCGCUGCCCAAGUCCGGCCAGCCGAAGUGCUCCAUCUCCCAGCUCGCGGAGCUCCCUGGCUGGCGCGCCGACUUGGAGCUCGCCAUGGACGUUGGCCACCGCUGCAUGCUCGCCACGGCCUCCCAGCUCCUCCCAGCCGCCCCUCCUCCCUCUACUCUCUGCGUGCUUCUCUCCCUCUCUCCCCUUCUCCCUACUGCACGCGUUGGAUCUCAGCUCACGGAGCUCUCUCUUCUGUCUUUCAUGGCGAACGCCUGCUUCCCCUGCUCGGAUUUCGUCUGUGCCCCGGGCUCCAUGGCGUCCCCGCCUCCAUGCUAGUCCCAGCCGAGCUCUCCCUCUCCCUGGUCCCUUCUCUGCGUGCCCUGGUACUCGCUCGCUGCUGCGCUCGCUCUCCCCUGCCUGCUCGAGUUCGCCCCCAGCUCCUGACCAUGGAGCUUCGCCCCGGCGGCCUCUUCUUUCCGGCGGCCGGUCGGAGUUUCCUCUGCGCUUGUCCUGGCAGUCGCGCCAUGGCCAGCUCCUCUACUCGGCCUUGUCCUUGUUUUUCUUCCCUUCAUGACCUGCCGAGGCUCCCUCCCCAGCUACGUCUGUGGUCAUCGGGCAUGUCAGCUGCCGCAGGCUCGCCUCACCCGGCUUCGUCACCAGUCUUCGCUCGACGCGUCCUUAUACUCAACAUGGGGUUUCUCUGCUAUAACAUUGGCUCGCCGUGGCCUGGUCGAUUUGUCCUCAGUGUCGCGCCAGCCGUGCAGAUCUUUCCAUCGCGUUCGAACCUCGCUAUCGGCCCACCGCUCUCGUCGCCAUGAAGACUAUGCAACAGCGCUUGGUCUCAAUGGUCUGUUGAUCUGCAUAGGUGGUGGUUUGGUUAAGAGUGGUGUUGAUAGAAGCAGAAAAUGAAUUUUGUGUAAGGCUCGCCUGGUGCUCGACGAAACGCCUCACCCACGAAAGCAUCGUCGUUUUUGGAAACUUUCGCAUCGGUACGUUAAUUGACUACGUGAUAUGGAGGACCAAAGCUGAGCCGAUCACAAGAUGAUGUUAAGCGUGGGCUUCUCCACAAGGUGAUGCUGGUGGAUCAACCUGAAAAUGGGCAGACUGAACAAGUGUCAACACAAAAGGCUAGUCGCCAAGUGGUCGCCAUCUAACAAACACUAACGUAGUGUUUAUUCCAGGUACUAGAUUUGUGAUGCUGUGGAUGGUGUUAAGCGCCGGUGGGCACGACCUUCUUAUAGGUUAAAGUAGCUCUUCUAUACUUCUUAUUGAGGAUUGUCAUGGAGCUAGCAUAUAUUUCAAACUUAUAAAUAAUUUAUAACAUUUCAAAGUUUAUUUAUUUGAAUCACUUUUUAAUCACUCCGAUAAAUAAAAUGUAAAUUUGUUGUAACUUGGAAC